rnacentral:rRNA from 1 species
CCUACGGGUGGCAGCAGUAGGGAAUAUUGCACAAUGAGGGAAACCCUGAUGCAGCGACGCCGCGUGAGUGAAGAAGUAUUUCGGUAUGUAAAGCUCUAUCAGCAGGGAAGAACAUGACAAUACCUGACCAAGAAGCCCCGGCUAACUACUUGCCAGCAGCCGGGGUAAUACGUAGGGGGUAAGCGUGAGCCGGAUUUACUGGGUGUAAAGGGAGCGUAGACGGUUAUGUAAGUCUGGAGUGAAAGCCGCGGGCCCAACCCCGGGACUGCUUUGGAAACUGUGUAACUGGAGUACAGGAGGGGCAGGCGGAAUUCCUGGUGUAGCGGUGAAAUGCGUAGAUAUCAGGAGGAACACCGGCGGCGAAGGCGGCCUGCUGGACUGAAACUGACGUUGAGGCUCGAAAGCGUGGGGAGCAAACAGGAUUAGAUACCCUUGUAGUC